AUUGAACGCUGGCGGCAGGCCUAACACAUGCAAGUCGAGCGAGAGGCGGACGGGUGAGUAAUGUAUGGGAAACUGCCUGAGGGAGGGGGAUCACUAAUGGAAACGGUAGCUAAUAACGCACACAAUCAGAUGGGCCGAGAUGGGAUUAGCGAGUGGGUGGGGUAAUGGCUCACCUAGGCGACGAGCCCUAGCUGGUCUGAGAGGAUGACCAGCCACACUGGAACUGAGACACGGUCCAGACUCCUACGUGAGGCAGCAGUGGGGAAUAUUGCACAAUGGGCGCAAGCCUGAUGCAGCCAUCCCGCGUGUGUGAAGAAGGCCUUCGGGUUGUAAAGCACUUUCAGCUAGGAGGCGUUACUCGCAGAAGAAGCACCGGCUAACUCCGUGCCAGCAGCCGCGGUAAUAC
rnacentral:rRNA from 1 species